rnacentral:misc_RNA from 1 species
GAUGAAGAACGCAGCGAAAUGCGAUACGUAAUGUGAAUUGCAGAAUUCAGUGAAUCAUCGAGUCUUUGAACGCACAUUGCGCCCUCUGGUAUUCCGGAGGGCAUGCCUGUCCGAGCGUCAUUGCUGCCCUCAAGCACGGCUUGUGUGUUGGGCUCCGUCCCCCGAUCCCGGGGGACGGGCCCGAAAGGCAGCGGCGGCACCGCGUCCGGUCCUCGAGCGUAUGGGGCUUUGUCACCCGCUCUUGUAGGCCCGGCCGGCGCUUGCCGACACAUCAAUCUUUUUUCCAGGUUGACCUCGGAUCAGGUAGGGAUACCCGCUGAACUUAAGCAUAUCAAUAAGCGGAGGA